rnacentral:piRNA from 1 species
UGCCACAAUUAUUGGACUUACUUCAUGC